GACGAACGCUGGCGGCGUGCCUAAUACAUGCAAGUUGAGCGCUGAAGGUUGGUACUUGUACCAACUGGAUGAGCAGCGAACGGGUGAGUAACGCGUGGGGAAUCUGCCUUUGAGCGGGGGACAACAUUUGGAAACGAAUGCUAAUACCGCAUAAAAACUUUAAACACAAGUUUUAAGUUUGAAAGAUGCAAUUGCAUCACUCAAAGAUGAUCCCGCGUUGUAUUAGCUAGUUGGUGAGGUAAAGGCUCACCAAGGCGAUGAUACAUAGCCGACCUGAGAGGGUGAGCGGCCACAUUGGGACUGGGACACGGCCAAAACUCCUACGGGAGGCAGCAGUAGGGAAUCUUCGGCAAUGGACGAAAGUCUGAACGAGCAACGCCGCGUGAGUGAAGAAGGUUUUCGGAUCGUAAAACUCUGUUGGUAGAGAAGAACGUUGGUGAGAGUGGAAAGCUCAUCAAGUGACGGUAACUACCCAGAAAGGGACGGCUAACUACGUG
rnacentral:rRNA from 1 species